AUUGAAACACCAGUUCUUGUAAGAUCAGUGAAGUUAAGCAAUAUCAAGCUGGCUCAGUACCUAGAUGGGUGACCACAUGGAUAUACCAGGUGGUGUA